UCUGGUAGCAAUGGCGAGAAGGUCACACCCGUUCCCAUACCGAACACGGAAGUUAAGCUUCUCAGCGCCGAUGGUAGUUGGGACUUUGUCCCUGUGAGAGUAGGACGUUGCCAGGC
rnacentral:rRNA from 1 species